rnacentral:rRNA from 1 species
AUUGAACGCUGGCGGCAGGCCUAACACAUGCAAGUGAAGUUCAGUGGCGGACGGGUGAGUAAUGUAUGGGGACUGCACGAUAGAGGGGGCUAACUACUGGAAACGGUAGCUAAUCCCGCAUACUAUCGGAUAACCCAUAUGGGAUUAGCUAGUAGGUGAGGUAAGGGCUCACCUAGGCGACGAUCCCUAGCUGGUCUGAGAGGAUGAUAAGCCACACUGGGACUGAGACACGGCCCAGACUCCUACGGAGGCAGCAGGGGGGAAUAUUGCACAAUGGGCGCAAGCUUGAGGCAGCCAUGCCGCGUGUAUGAAGAAGGCCCUAGGGUUGGAAAGUACUUUCAGUCGGGAGGCGUUACCGACAGAAGAAGCACCGGCUAACUCCGUGCCAGCAGCCGCGGUAAUA